GAUCACCUAUAUGGAGGCUCUGGAGAAGAAUCCACUUCAAGCUCAUUCAGGUUAAUAGCAGAAUACAUCCUCCCAGGGUUCUAUCUCAGUUCCAAGAAGACAAGUGCUAUUUCUUGUCAGGCAGGCCCCCACAUUUUUAAAGCCAGCAAAGAGAAGUUGAAUCCUUCCUGUGUUUUGAAUCACCUUUUCUUCAUCUGUGUCUGACCUCCAGCACCAGAUCUGAAGGCUCAUGUGGUUAUAUCAGUCACAGGAGUGUUUAUAAACUGAUAACAUGAAAAAUGACAGUGGAGAAAAGAAUGCAAGUGCCAACUAAAAAGCAGACAGAAUUUCUGAUCAAGUGAGUUCAUGGAACUGAAAUUUCUCAUGCUCAAUAAGGUUUUAUGGGAUUGAAGAAUUUCAUACAAUAUUGAAGACCACUAAAAUAUUAGGGAAUGAAGUCUCCUAAAAAUAUAAAUUUCCCAAAAGCCAUAGGAACUAGCAAUUUCACUUUGGCCCCCUCUUCCUACCACACUGAUUGUGGAAGCACAUGUUGAAAAGAUUCUGUAGUUGCCUGUACCUGAGGGACAGGAUGUGGGUGUGGAGCAUAGAAAACAGCUGCUGCAGUUGUGGGAGGUUUUGCUACCACAGCAGAAGAUAACCUAUCCUGACACAUUUGGAUGCAAAUGUUACUAUAUGCCCCCCAAAUAAA